AAGAUUUUAAGUUAAAAAAACUAUUUACCUUCAAAGUAAAAAUUAUAUUACAUAAAUCUUA
rnacentral:tRNA from 1 species